rnacentral:rRNA from 1 species
UACAGAGGGUGCGAGCGUUAAUCGGAAUUACUGGGCGUAAAGCGUGCGUAGACGGUUAUUUAAGUCGGGUGUGAAAGCCCCGGGCUCAACCUGGGAAUUGCAUUCGAGACUGAAUAGCUAGGGUACGGUAGAGGGAAGUGGAAUUUCCGGUGUAGCGGUGAAAUGCGUAGAUAUCGGAAGGUACACCGAUGGCGAAGGCAGGUCUCUGGGCCACUACUGACGCUGAGAAGCGAAAGCAUGGGGAGCGAACAGG